CCUACGGGAGGCAGCAGUGGGGGAUAUUGGACAAUGGGGGAAACCCUGAUCCAGCGACGCCGCGUGAGUGAAGAAGUAUUUCGGUAUGUAAAGCUCUGUCAGCAGGGAAGAAAGAAAUGACGGUACCUGACCAAGAAGCCCCGGCUAACUACGUGCCAGCAGCAGCGGUAAUACGGAGGGGGCAAGCGUUAUCCGGAAUUACUGGGUGUAAGGGGAGCGUAGGCGGUGAUGAAAGUCUGGAGUUAAAGGCGGGGGCACAACCCCCGGACUGCUCUGGAAAGUGUGUAACUUGAGUGCAGGAGAGGUAAGCGGAAGUCCUAGUGUAGCGGUGAAAUGCGUAGAUAUUAGGAGGAACACCAGUGGCGAAGGCGGCUUACUGGACUGUAACUGACGUUGAGGCUCGAAAGCGUGGGGAGCAAACAGGAUUAGAUACCCGGGUAGUC
rnacentral:rRNA from 1 species